rnacentral:rRNA from 1 species
ACUCCUGCGGGAGGCAGCAGUGGGGAAUUUUGGACAAUGGGCGAAAGCCUGAUCCAGCAAUGCCGCGUGUGUGAAGAAGGCCUUCGGGUUGUAAAGCACUUUUGUCCGGAAAGAAAUCCUUGGCUCUAAUACAGUCGGGGGAUGACGGUACCGGAAGAAUAAGCACCGGCUAACUACGUGCCAGCAGCCGCGGUAAUACGUAGGGUGCGAGCGUUAAUCGGAAUUACUGGGCGUAAAGCGUGCGCAGGCGGUUUGCUAAGACCGAUGUGAAAUCCCCGGGCUCAACCUGGGAACUGCAUUGGUGACUGGCAGGCUAGAGUAUGGCAGAGGGGGGUAGAAUUCCACGUGUAGCAGUGAAAUGCGUAGAGAUGUGGAGGAAUACCGAUGGCGAAGGCAGCCCCCUGGGCCAAUACUGACGCUCAUGCACGAAAGCGUGGGGAGCAAACAGGAUUAGAUACCCGAGUAGUCCCAUGA